AGUCCACUUAGGACGGUGGUUCUGCCGGUUAAUAUCUGGCGAUGAUGACCAGGUGGCAGGAUCAGAUCAGGUCCAGUCGCGGACUGC